GAAAUUAUUUGCAUUUCAUGAGACAAUAGAGUUCAGAUUUAGAAGAUUAACAUGACCCCUGUGCAAAUAGGUAUGAGACGCAAAAUCAUGAAGCGUUCCACGUGUGU
rnacentral:snRNA from 1 species